rnacentral:rRNA from 1 species
ACGAACGCUGGCGGCGUGCUUAACACGUGCAAGUCGAACGGAAAGGCCCUGCUUUUGUGGGGUGCUCGAGUGGCGAACGGGUGAGUAACACGUGAGUAACCUGCCCUUGACUUUGGGAUAACUUCAGGAAACUGGGGCUAAUACCGGAUAGGAGCUCCUGCUGCAUGGUGGGGGUUGGAAAGUUUCGGCGGUUGGGGAUGGACUCGCGGCUUAUCAGCUUGUUGGUGGGGUAGUGGCUUACCAAGGCUUUGACGGGUAGCCGGCCUGAGAGGGUGACCGGCCACAUUGGGACUGGGAUACGGCCCAGACUCCUACGGGAGGCAGCAGUGGGGAAUAUUGCACAAUGGGCGGAAGCCUGAUGCAGCAACGCCGCGUGCGGGAUGACGGCCUUCGGGUUGUAAACCGCUUUCGCCUGUGACGAAGCGUGAGUGACGGUAAUGGGUAAAGAAGCACCGGCUAACUACGUG